CUGCGCCACAGCGUCGAUUUGUUUCGGCUUGCGGACGCUAUAUAAAAUCAGCUAAACAGAAGCAGGAUAGCCUGUU
rnacentral:ncRNA from 1 species